rnacentral:misc_RNA from 1 species
UAGUGAUAUGCAGGGGC